GACGAACGCUGGCGGCGUGCUUAACACAUGCAAGUCGAACGGAAAGGCCCUGCUUUUGUGGGGUGCUCGAGCGGCGAACGGGUGAGUAACACGUGAGUAACCUGCCCUUGACUUUGGGAUAACUUCAGGAAACUGGGGCUAAUACCGGAUAGGAGCCCCUGCUGCAUGGUGGGGGUUGGAAAGUUUCGGCGGUUGGGGAUGGACUCGCGGCUUAUCAGCUUGUUGGUGGGGUAGUGGCUUACCAAGGCUUUGACGGGUAGCCGGCCUGAGAGGGUGACCGGCCACAUUGGGACUGAGAUACGGCCCAGACUCCUACGGGAGGCAGCAGUGGGGAAUAUUGCACAAUGGGCGGAAGCCUGAUGCAGCAACGCCGCGUGCGGGAUGACGGCCUUCGGGUUGUAAACCGCUUUCGCCUGUGACGAAGCGUGAGUGACGGUAAUGGGUAAAGAAGCACCGGCUAACUACGUG
rnacentral:rRNA from 1 species